rnacentral:rRNA from 1 species
ACGGGAGGCAGCAGUGGGGGACAUUGCACAAUGGGCGAAAGCCUGAUGCAGCGACGCCGCGUGAGGGAAGACGGUUUUCGGAUUGUAAACCUCUGUCUUCGGGGACGAAAAAGGACGGUACCCGAGGAGGAAGCCACGGCUAACUACGUGCCAGCAGCCGCGGUAAUACGUAGGUGGCAAGCGUUAUCCGGAUUUACUGGGUGUAAAGGGCGCGUAGGCGGGGAUGCAAGUCAGGUGUGAAAUCUAUGGGCUUAACCCAUAAACUGCAUUUGAAACUGUAUCUCUUGAGUGUCGGAGAGGUAGACGGAAUUCCUAGUGUAGCGGUGAAAUGCGUAGAUAUUAGGAGGAACACCAGUGGCGAAGGCGGUCUACUGGACGAUAACUGACGCUGAGGCGCGAAAGCGUGGGGAGCAAACAGGAUUAGAUACCCUGGUA